AACGAACGCUGGCGGCAUGCCUAACACAUGCAAGUCGAACGAGACCUUCGGGUCUAGUGGCGCACGGGUGCGUAACGCGUGGGAACCUGCCCUUAGGUUCGGAAUAACUCCCCGAAAGGGGUGCUAAUACCGGAUAAUGUCUUCGGACCAAAGAUUUAUCGCCUUUGGAUGGGCCCGCGUUGGAUUAGCUAGUUGGUGGGGUAAAAGCCUACCAAGGCGACGAUCCAUAGCUGGUCUGAGAGGAUGAUCAGCCACACUGGGACUGAGACACGGCCCAGACUCCUACGGGAAGCAGCAGUGGGGAAUAUUGGACAAUGGGCGAAAGCCUGAUCCAGCAAUGCCGCGUGAGUGAUGAAGGCCUUAGGGUUGUAAAGCUCUUUUACCCGGGAUGAUAAUGACAGUACCGGGAGAAUAAGCUCCGGCUAACUCCGUG
rnacentral:rRNA from 1 species